UACAGAGGGUGCAAGCGUUGUUCGGAAUUAUUGGCGUAAAGGGCGCGCAGGCGGCCACGCGCGUCCGUUGUGAAAUCGCUCGGCUCAACUGGGCGAGGUCAGCGGAUACGGCGUGGCUGGAGCAAGCUAGGGGGCAAUGGAAUUCCCGGUGUAGUGGUGGAAUGCGUAGAUAUCGGGAGGACACCAGUGGCGAAGGCGGUUGCCUGGAGCUUUGCUGACGCUGAGGCGCGGAAAGCGUGGGGAGCGAGUCGG
rnacentral:rRNA from 1 species